GCCUGUGGCUGGAGUAAGAACAAAGGCUCCGCAACACAAGUCAGCCACAUUAAAAGAAAACUGCAACCAAUUAUUAUGCUGCAGUGGCUUAGCCAAGGAAAUCUGGGGUUUUUCCACUCCUAUCAAGUUAUUUAAGACAAUAUUCUCCCUUUCCCUCCACCCCACUUUUCACUUCCUGGAAUAUGCUGGGAACAUCCCACAAGAUCACAGUUCUACUUGCCAUCUAUCUGGGUUCCCUAGCUCACGACAAGGGGUGUAUAAUCCAUCUUCAUGUUUAUCAGACACUGAAGAGAUUGUUUCUGAGACUUCUUGCCAAGAGCUCCCGGAAUUCCCUACUUUUAUUUGCAGACAAAUGCCAUAAAGCCAAACAAAACUGGAAAAGAAGGAAAACGUUGUCUCUCCUUCUUCGUUCCCCUUUACAAGACAGCAAAACGCUCCAGCAAGCAAACAUCAGCUCACCAGCCCGCACUGCUGUCAAAGAGCAGUAUGCCAAAAGGGACAUAAGGUUGUUCCUUAGGAAGACAAGUUUAAGAGACUGCAAGGAUGAGAACCUCAGGCACAGCACAUUUAGGCAGAAGUUGUUUCAGAAAAGCGCACUGUUAAAGAAUUCCUGGAGAAGUACACACUCAUGUCUGAAUCAAGAAAAUCAUAAGCACAAACAAUGCAUCACUCCUGGUCCGCAGUUAACACUUCAGAAAAGAGAUGUGACCACAGAUGGCCAGCAAAUACAUGCUGAAAGCUGAAACCUACGUGUGAGAAAACCUAUCAGAGAAGGAAGUUAACUGCAGAAUCACUGAAGUUGGAAAAGAUUAUGAAUGGUAUAUCCUGUCUGACAAACCUGAUUUUGUUCUACGACAAGAUGACCUGCUUAGUGGACAGAGGUAAGGCUGUCGAUGUGGUCUACCUGGACUUCAGUAAAGCCUUUGACACUGUCCCCCACAACAUCCUCAUGGAGAAGCUGGCUGCCCAUUGUUUGGAUGGGCAUAUGCUCUGCUUGGUGAAAUACCAGCUGGAUGGCUGAGCCCAAAGAGUUAUGGUCAAUGAAGUUAAAUCCAGUUGGUGGCUGGUAACAAGCAGUGUCAAUCAGGACUCAGCAGUGGGGCUGCUUCUGUUCAACACCUUUAUUGAUGAUCUUGAUGAGGGGAUUGAGGUGAACCCUCAGUAAGUUUGCAGGUGACACCAAGUUGGGAGGGAGCGUUGAUCUGCCAGAGGGGAGGAAAGCACCUACAGAGGGAUCUGUAUCAAUGGGAUUGAUAACUGGAUCGAUGGGCCAAGGUAAACAAUAAGAGUUUCAAUAGGGCCAAUUAUCAGGUCCUGCAUUUUGGUCACAACGACCCCGGGCAACUCUACAGGCUUGGGAAGGAGUGGCUAGAAAGCUGCCUGUCAGAAAGGGACCUUGGUGUACCAAUGAACAGUCAGCUGAAUACGAGCCAGCAGUGUGCCCAGGUGGCCAAGAAGGUCAAAGGCUUGUACCAUAAAUGGUGUGAUGAGCAGAACUAGGGAAGUAAUCCUGCCCCUGUACUUAGCUUUAGUGUAGGUCCCACCUUGAGUACUGUGUUCAGUUUUGGGCACCUCAAUAAAGAAAGAGGUGCUGGAGCAGGUUCAGAGAAGGGCAACAAUGCUUGUGAAGGGCUUGGGGAAUAUCCCCCUAUUCCCUAUGAGACUGAAGGAACUGGGAAAGAAAAGGCUGAGGAGAGACCUUAUUGUUCUCUUCAAAUACUUGAAAGCUGAUUGCAGCAAGAACAGAGUUGGUCUCUUCUCACUGGUGACAGGAUGAGGAGAAAUGGCCUCAUGCUGUGCCAGAGUAAGUUUAGGUUGGAUAUGAGGAAAAACUUCCUUACAUAAACGGUUGUUAAGCACUGGAGUAGGCUCCCCAGGGAGGUGGUUGAGUCACCACCUCUGAAUGUGUUUAAAAACCAUUUGGAUGUGGUGCUCAGGAACAUGAUUUAGCAGAGGGUUGUUAGAGUUAGGAUAGUAUGGUUAGGUUGCGGGUAGACUUAAUAAUCUUGAAGGUCCAUUCCAACCUGAGCAAUUCUACGUAGUCCAACAAUCAAUCCAUUGCCACCAUACACACACUAAUCAUGUUCCUCAGUGCCACAUCUACACAGUUCUUGAAGGGCUAAGCCAAAUAACAUCUUCUAUAUUGAUGUUUUAGUAACUAUAAUUUUUAAGAAAAUCUGUAUUUGAGAAAGGUAAUGCAGAUGAAGCAGCUCCGUCACUGUCCCAGUCACUCACCACAGUACAAUGCCAGCUGUAAGGGCUGCAUCAGGACAGCAAAAGGUAUGGGUGGCUACAGCAGCUGGCAUCUGUGAAUACACAUCACUUGAAACCGGCUAAAGGCAGGUACAAGGCAAGUUCAUCGCUCGAACUGUAUUUUUAAGCUGGGAAAUCAGAAUGAUCUUCAUGGGCCAGAGAGUAGAAGCAUGCCUUACUUCUGUGAAUAGCACACACAUAUGUAAACAUCCAGUACGUCUGUGUGCAUGUACAUACAAAAACAGCAUAAAACGCUAUGAUAAAGGACAAAGUAAUAGUACGAGGGACAGAAAUAAGCUGUUUCUCCCUCCCCCGCCCCGCAGGAGACAACCCCGACAGGGGGUUUCUCAGUCUCCACCCGCUGAGCCGAGAGGGAGGCCGCGGCCGCCUCGAGGCUGAGUCGACCGAGCCCACGGCAGUUCGGAGCCCAGGCCGACCGCCAAGAAGUGGAGCCAGCCGCGGCCGGCCACUGAACAGUGCCGAGAAGAGCCGCUCACGCCCGAGAGAACGAACACCGCGGCCAACCCCUCGCUCGGACCAAGGCGCUCCGCUCUCACCUCCAGGCUGCGCUGGACCAGAGCAGCGUUGGACGGCGUCUUAGCAGCCCGGUACUGCGUGGCUGCCAGGAGCAGGGACUUCAUACAACCUGAAG